UACGAAGGGGGCUAGCGUUGUUCGGAUUUACUGGGCGUAAAGAGCUCGUAGGCGGUUUCGUAAGUCGGAUGUGAAAACUCCAGCUCAACUUGGAGACGCCAUUCGAUACUGCGAUGACUUGAGUCCGGUAGGGGAGUGUGGAAUUCCUGGUGUAGCGGUGAAAUGCGCAGAUAUCAGGAGGAACACCGGCGGCGAAGGCGGCACUCUGGGCCGGUACUGACGCUGAGGAGCGAAAGCGUGGGUAGCAAACAGG
rnacentral:rRNA from 1 species